UUCCUCGGAAAAGCCUCGGAAUAUUCUGCGGAAAUUCCGAGGAAAAACAAGUGUUCCUCGGAAUUUCCUCGGAAUAUUCCGAGGCUUUUCCGAGGAAACAGAAACCCUAAAAGCAAAGCCCUGAAUCGUCGGAAAAGUCUCGGACUAUGCCGAGGAAAUUCCGAGGAAAUAUGAUUUCCUCGGUAUUUCAUCGGUAUAUUCCGAGGAAAUAUGAUUUCCUCGGUAUUUUAUCGGUAUAUUCCGAGGAAAUUCCGAGGAAACCUAUUUUUCGUCAGAAUGUCCGUCAGAAUUACGCUGUUUUCUUGUAGUGUGGGCACAAUCAGUGUUGCAGAGGUAAAAGAAAUAACCUGAGCAGGCAGGAACCUCAAGUGCUCUUGCUCUCCCUGGUAUUGUGUUUCAUAUCACCUGUUUUUCUUUAGUUCAAUUUUCUGUUAAGCAUUGCAUGCAACUGUCUACGAAGGAGAGGUAACGCCAUAAAGGAGUCAACUUUUUGUAUGUUUUGACUUAAAAGAUGUCAUUUUUUUUAUUUCUCAUAGAUUGUUGUUUCGUGGUUUGCUAACGAAACCAUAGGUACACGCAGUGAUGGGGAAGAAUGGUUCAGGGAAUAGCACAUUCUCUAAAAAAGAGGUAAAGAGUAAGAGAGCACAGAAGGAAGUUUGCAACUCGAGCUCGAGGAUGGGUGCGGUUUAUAGUUUGUUUGUGAGGGAAGAGGAGAUUCUGAUGGAGCAGAGGAAGAGGGAGUGUGGUGGUUGUGGGUUUGUGGUGAGGAAGGAGAGAGAUGAAGAUAUUGAGCUCGUUGUGCCUCUUGUUUUCAGCUUAUGUACAAAGAAACCGCAUGGCUUAUGGUCGUUCUUAAAGGCUGGAAAGCAAUGAGUAAACAGUUGCGCUGAGUAAGUGAAACCUCUGGUUAGUGUGUUGUUACCUACUAACAUAAACACAGGGGUAAAUGUCGGGAAUUCUUCGAAAAGUGUUUAAAUGUAGGUAAUGUUGAUGCGGUAUACUCAUUUUGGAGACUUGGACGAUGUUGUCGCUGUUUCGGAGGCUAAUGUUUCGAGCCACACCUAGCCAACCCUAGAUUAUGGAGUAUUUAACAUAUGCAGUGGAGAAGAUAUGAAGACGAACUUAGCUUUCCGAUAGUUCACACAGAUCCAAUUUCAACAACUCUGGAUCAGAUUUGUUCAUUGCUGCUUAAUCGUGAUUAAUCCGGUUAAGGAGCAGAGAAUCACAUUCCUCCUCUAUUGUUGAUUUUCUCCAGACUUUUUAAAAAUGCCUAAGAAAAUCUAUACAUGUGAAUAUAAGGACACCUAAAGCCGAGACUCGCUCUCUGAAGGAAAGAAGAAACCAGCCUGAGAAGAGAACCACCUUCCAUGGUGGUGAUAAGGAACUUGCAGAUAUGAAGAAACAAAAAAAUCCUAUAGCAGAACGUCAACAAGGGACAUUCUCCAAGACUGGAGAGUGAAAUUAGAGCUUAGUUGACUAACAAAGCUUGCUAAACACCCACACAUUUCAUCUCUAAGAAUAAAAUGAUUCAAACUCCAAACAAAGACCAAAGGUCACAAAAGAGGUCUACAAGCCAAUACGAACGGAAAUUGCAAACUAAAGAGGAACACGAUUGAAGCACAAGCCUGGAAUUAUAAUGGGAGGGAAGAACUUGGUUCACAAUUGUGUCCUGUAAAUCUAUCAAACGCUAGAGUUGUAACUUGGCGGAAUGGUUCGUGUUCAAGGCUCUGAGUAUUGGCAUAUGGCUGAAGUUCUAAGAUUGAAAGCUGAAGACAGGGUAUAACUUUUUAAUGGAAAAGGAGGUUUGGUAGAAGGUUGUAUACAAAACAUAGACAAAACUGGAGUUGAUUUUGUCGCACAAGAAGAUCGGGAAACGCUUCGCGGCGAUGUGGGGAUGUGGAGAUUACAGAAGGUUAGGGCUCGGGAGCUUGGAGUCUCAGUGGACACCUUCUGUAUGCUCUGCAUUGAGUGAUCACAGCAUCAGAGCUCUCUCUUGCUCCCGAGCUCACACUCUUUUCCUCACCGAAACAAGGAGAGUCUUUGCAACAGGUCUUAAUGAUUGUGGCCAACUUGGUGUCUCAGACGUAAA